CGCUUACCCCGCCGUCCAAUGGCAGACGGGCAUUUUAUCAAGCUAUCUCCUCUGAGCCAAUCCCGGGCCUCCCGGUGAUCCCUGUAAACCGGAUGCCCUCCCUCCUGCCUCUCAAACAGACGUAAUCUGUGGAUCGGAGAGGCAGGCAGGCGCUCAGUCGGUGGAGAGUCGGUCUCGGACGGAAGUGAUGAGAGUGAAAAUACCCGCUGUGGCAGACUUGAAGAAACCGCAUCAGUCCACCUCGAGUAAAACAGGAGGAGAAAGGAAGGGGAAAAAAUGUUGUGUUUAUAUUGUGUCUCUUGAUGCUGACUUUAGUGAAUCCAUGAAGAUAAUUUCCAUCAGAUGCUGUUGCGGCCUAUUUUGAACUGGAGAUGAAAGCCUUUGAAUUCCUCUGAUUAAUGAGAUGGUGGUAAUGCAAUAAAGCAGAUCCUCUCAGUUUAUGUUCCAACUUAAACGCACCACAUGAUCAUGUGUAACGUAAUCAGAACCAUCUUUGCCCUGUGGACAGUGGACUCAUUCUGCCACUGUCCUGCGUCAUUAUGUCCCUCUGCUGUGCGACCUGACCUCCGUGGUUUGAGCGAUGUCCUCUGCUCUGUCCCUGUCCCCCGCUUGUCUGUCCUCCCUCCUCCACUCUUCCCCUCCCCCUCCCCUGCUGCCUUUCUGUCAACUCGGCUCCCGCUCACAGCCGCUGUCCCGCUUGCCUCGGUGAACAUUCAACGCUGUCGGUGAGUUUGGUAUGGAUCACAUAAAAACCAUCGACCGUUGACUGUGCCCCGCGGCUUGCUCUGACGACGUCAGGAACGAGCGAAAAAUGAACAAAAGGGCAAGUGGGCGCAUGCAAAUCUCAGAGACGAAGACACACAUGCACAAAAGUGACACUCUGUUUCCACUGUACCCAAAGACCAAAGGUCACAAUCAACAUUCAUUGCUGUCGCUGGGUUGGACUGUGUAGAAAAGCUCACUGAACAAUGAGUGCAACUGUGGCCCAGAUCUGCCUGACUCGUGUCUCAGCCAAUCAGCCGACCGGAUGUGAAACACUCUGAUUUCUUUAUUUAUAUACUUCUUGUUUUUCACUUCUAUUUUCUUCUCUCUUCCUCCCUCCCUGGCGCUAGGAGUCUUCAGGGGGAAGAGAGAGAGAGAGAGAAAGAGAGAGAAAGAGAGAGAGAGAGAGAUAGAGAUAGAGACACAAAUAGACUUCUGGCUGCUUGCUUGUCCUCAUCCUCCUCUUUUCUCCUCUAAUUGGUGGUUAUGUGUGCAGCAAGGGGGAAGGAAGCGGAGUGAAUGUGUAAUCAUUUGGAGUCUUCUCCUUUAGAUGUUUCAUCCCUCUCUUUUUUGUUUGUCUAAUUAUACACUGAGCCCAGUUAACUCUGUGUUAACUGUGCGUCUGUGCUGGCAAGAAUGAACAAGUGACAAAGAGAGGGAGAACAUGGGGAAACGAAAAAGGUAAAAAGAUUAUAGCAAAAUUAUUUUCUAGUUUUUAGAAUAUCUUGUAUAAUAAUUCUUCCUGGUGGCGCUGCAAAAGUGUUAGGAUAUGAGCAAUUUUCAAAUGCAGAAGGAAGAUUGUUUUCACCUUUCAGACUGAGCACUUCUCAUUAUCUGUGUUUGAGUUUCAUGAGAGAAUGUCUGGUUUCCUGUCUGCCUCUGUGUGUGUGUGCGUGUGCGCACGUAUGCUAUGACAGAGGACCUGUCUGCUGAUCUCAGAGUGCAAUAUGUUAUUUUCUUUCUAUACUAAAGCAGCCUGCUCCCUCAUGGGAAAACACAGUCUAUAACCUUGUCUUCCUUCAGACAGUCUGGGACUGGCCAUGCCGCUGCCAUUUCUCAUUGCACCCGUCUGUAACAACUCUCUGACACUGUGCCCCGUAUCUGUAAUUCAUGUAAUGUAAACACACAGUUGAUAUACAGCAUAUGUAGGAAUGUGUUUUAUGUUCUCAUGAAGUGCUGACGCUCGAAAAAAGAUUAAUUCAUUCAUUCAAUAAAGUUAAAUCAGGAUCCAUG